UGAUUAUCAAACAUUAGGUUGUGGGAUUAAAAGACAAAGGAACCUUGGUGUAGAUUUAAAGUACCCGUUGUCUCACUCCGUAUGACUAGCAACCCACGGUCUUCUCAAAUUAAUUAAUAUGGGCUAAUGACUGACAAGGGGCGAAGAACCACACCAACUUUAUCAAAUUGCACAUGUAAACAUCAUCAUCAUCUGUUUUACAUCUUACAUGUAUAGAGGACCUAGGACAAGAGAAACCGGUGAAACUUGGUCAUACUGAAACACAGAAGAUCUUUGGGAGUACGGGAGGGCGCCCUCACGGUCCAAUGCACCUUAAGGAGGCGCCCAGCACUUAUUUCAUUUCACGUCACAAUCCCAAAAUGGGUACAUGUACCACUCAUUAAGCCAAUGACAGCAGGACAGACAAGCGGCUUGUGCAGCGAGUCCACGCGAAAAGUGCAACUGUUCUUCCUUCUGUCUUGAUGGUGAUGUAAUACGACAAUGGGAGAAGUACACCUGGUCGUGGAUGACAAUAUAGGAUUGACAAACACUCUGACAUUAAGUACCACUGACCAGUGGUUGCAUCCACAAAUAAGAACCGCCAUCGGGACAAACAACUGACUUUAUGAAAUGACGACUUAUCGAGCACUGCUGAGGAAAGAAUAUAAAUUUAUGGAUUUGAUCGAUUGUAUAGUAAAAUAUUGGUGUACAGUCCUGAUCAAUUACGUAAGAAACAACGCUAUAUUAUUUGAAAGCACUAAAAGUUGUCUAACUUACAAUCAAAAAUAGUAUUUAAAACAAUUAAGAAAGUGACCUUAUAAAAAACGACAACUCUAUGCAUAAGUUUAUAUCCAUAAGGAACUGAUCAAUUUCCUAGUGCCUUUACACAAAACUCAAUGGCUUGUUAAUUUUUAGUUGCCUACAAAAUUAUGAAAUUUAAGACAUGAAUUCAUUUUUUUAAUUGAUUUCUCAUGAUACUAGCUUAGUUAAAUGACUAGAGGUGUAUCCAAGCUCCCCUGUCUAGGUUAACAUGAUGUAGAAUUACUUCCUGGAAUUAGAUAUCUAAAACCGCUGAUUUCACAAAGGAUUUAAUAUAUGUGACGACAUCCAAUACGAAGUGUCAUCUAAAAUCUACAUAAGAGUUGAUUUUGACGGGGGUCAACCAUUGAUUUAUUUAUUCGAUGUUUACAUAAAUACAAACUGGUGUUCUUAGUAAUCUUUUUUUCCCUUCGAUUUCAGGAGAUAAAUCAUAAUUGUAUAUUUUGAAUAAAGUGAGUGGGUGUAAAUACAAAAUUUUAAAAUGACAACUUUGUAUUUACAUCCAUUUGAUAAAUUUAAUAUUUUAGAUGACAUGUCUUCAAAACAAUGCUCAACAAUUGAAUGUAAAGAGGUUUGUGUGAUUACUUUAUUAGUUUUCAUUUACAUUAUAUUUUCGUGAUAUUCCAGUGUAUAGCAUGUGAAUAACUUCCGUAUACAAUUACAGGGAGUAACUCUGAACCGAAUAAUAAACUCCACAAUAAAGAUCAAGUGUCCAGAAUGGUUUUUAUCGGUUUCAUCGCUCCAGUAAGUUUGAGAAAUUUUCUAUGUUUUUUUUUUAGGGUUGUAAAUUUCUUAAUCUUAAAAUCUUAUCAUUAAAAGUUUUUUGCAGAAAGAUAACGAUAUGCCAAAUUUUAUGAUAAUAGUCAUCAAAUAAAAGGAAGAUGAUGGAGCUGGCAUGAAUGAUGUUUUCUCAUAAAUAAUUUAAGUCUGGAUCAAGGAGAGGUGUAGUUCGCUGAUCGAUAACAGAGUGAUAUCGGACGCUGCCGAAACCUACAAAAAUACUAGCUUCAAAACUUGUAGUAUAUCUAAGCUUUAAAUACUAGCAGGAUAUAAUAAGUAAAAGCUUCAAAUUUCAGGGGGAAAUAAUUUGACUAUGACCAUAGUUUCGUUAAUUUCAAAGGUCAAGUACUAUUUUAAAAUAGUAAACAGUGUUUGAAAGAGAAAAUAUUAAUAAAAGAAUUUUUAAUCUCACUACCUGAUGGUUGGCUUUAUUGCUAUGCCAAAUUAUUCAAUAAAUUUAUGUUAUUGGUUUUAAUUGAUCCUUGGACCUCAAUAGUUCUCCAUACAUGUACUAUACUCCCUACAACUGGUAUUAAAUGCAUGUAGUAUAGCAACCCCGAGUCAUUUUUUAUGUUUACAUACGUUUAAUGUUUAUUUCAUAUUUAAUUUCAUCCUCAACAUUUAUUCAAAUAGUUUUUUAAAUGGAUUUUUGCAUUUAAAUUGUGUAGGAUUAAAAAAGGCACGGCGCGGUGACAAUUCAUUGCAUAACCUUUUGAAUGGAUUAUGCAAGAACUUCAAGAUGCAGUAAAAAAAUAUCAAAAUUGUUCAGAAACACGCGACAGAAUUUCAAUAUUUCGUUUGUAGUAUACAGCUUUACAAAUGAUUUUAUCAACCGAAAGUACACGCUUUUAUAAAUUGGACAAAACCUGUCCAUCAAAACAUAUAAAAUUGAAUUAAAACCACAUGUCAAAUUAAAUAUAUCACAAAAACUCUUACAUUUCCUUACAGGUCUUAGUGUGAUUCAUCCAAUAAUUAUAUACCGCUUUAAGAAUAAGUAAUAAACGGAUGUGCACUUCAAAUCUCUGAACGGGUUUUAAACACAACGUUUGUUAG